GAUGAACGCUGGCGGCGUGCCUAAUACAUGCAAGUCGAGCGAAUGGAUUAAGAGCUUGCUCUUAUGAAGUUAGCGGCGGACGGGUGAGUAACACGUGGGUAACCUGCCCAUAAGACUGGGAUAACUCCGGGGAACCGGGGCUAAUACCGGAUAACAUUUUGAACCGCAUGGUUCGAAAUUGAAAGGCGGCUUCGGCUGUAACUUAUGGAUGGACCCGCGUCGCAUUAGCUAGUUGGUGAGGUAACGGCUCACCAAGGCCACGAUGCGUAUCCGACCUGAGAGGGUGAUCGGCCACACUGGGACUGAGACACGGCCCAGACUCCUACGGGAGGCAGCAGUAGGGAAUCUUCCGCAAUGGACGAAAGUCUGACGGAGCAACGCCGCGUGAGUGAUGAAGGCUUUCGGGUCGUAAAACUCUGUUGUUAGGGGAGAACAAGUGCUAGUUGAAUAAGCUGGCACCUUGACGGUACCUAACCAGAAAGCCACGGCUAACUACGUGCCAGCCGCCGCCGUAA
rnacentral:rRNA from 1 species